GGCCUGCCUGGCUUGCCUGGGCCCCCAGGUCCCCCUGGACCUCCAGGACGCAUACUUUAUAUCAAAGGAACAGUUUUCCCAGUCCCUCCCAGGCCUCAUUGCAAAAUGCCAGUGAACACUCCCUAUCCUGGAAACCAAGAAGUCCUUAAUGACCAUGGUG